GUGCAAGCAGAAUGCCGUUUAUUUGGGGGAAUAGGGAGUCUUGCCGCAUGGUGGAAACCCCGGGGGUGAAAAGGUCACAGUCACAGCCUGAAAGGCAUGCUGCAAAUGUUUGUCUCAGUGCUCAGCUGUGCUGCAAAAGGAAUCACAAAACGUUUCAGCUGGAAACCACAAGCUUGACCCAAACAUAACCCCAAAAGGGGAACCAGCAGGGCCCUACAUUCAAGCAUCAGAACCAACAAGACUCCCUGGGUGGCAUCGGGAUUCAGAUGGUUCCUGAGAAUGCCAGAAUACCUUUCCAUCCAAGCGGUAACACUCAGUAUUCUUUGGCUCCUGAGGCCACAAUCCACCCCUGUCCAUCCCAUCCGAUCCGUGUCUCGGACAGGCUCUCCUGGUGUCUGUGCUCCCCACGGUGCACUGGGGCCCUAUCCCUCAUCUCCAGUCGGCCUGCAGCAGACUCGCCUUCUGGCUCGGCUCGCCCGGAUGGCUCAGUGCUCCAUCCACCAUCAACAACUGUGCCCCUCGCCCAAUCCGUGAGAAGUGUUGUAGUGCUGGAGCUACAAGUGGAGGUCCCACUGAGAUCAGGAAAGAAGGGAAGAGGCUGAAGGAUCACCCCGGAAGGCUGGUCGGCAUUCUCAUUAAGGUAAGGAGCUGGUGUAUUGAACAGGGGUGCCACUAGUUCCUACUCUCUUAUGGGGGACCAACUGGUAUCAAACAUAAGACAGCAAAAGGCUGAAAGGGGUAAACUAAACUAAAAGGCUUCACUUCUAGGAAUGAAGGGACUAGACCCUCACUCAGCCUCUGCUUCAGAAGCCAAGACAGGCUACAGAAAAGACACAUAGGCCUUUAACACAAGAAAACCCCAGAUCCUAGGUGGACGCGCUAUUAGGUAGACCUGGAGGAACUGGGAGACACCCUCUUCCUCGUCAGGACAGGGGCCCAUCUGGGGCCAUCCCAUCGUGAUCCCUGGAUCCCAACUGUUUUUCUGAAAGUUAGGAGGACGAUGAGCCCCUGGUGGGCCUUCGUCCAACCGUAGGGUUUUUGACCUGAUAGAGCCUGGCCAAGACCGACCCUCUGAUUUCUGCAGAACUCUGGUACUCUGUCUUGGAACUCUGACAAUCUGUCUUGGGCCCCUUUCUUUUGUCUAAGUGCUGUGUUUGUUGUUUGUCUUGUUUUGGCUUCUCUUGACCGUACUGACAAUAUGGACCUGACUGGGACAAAGCCUACCAUGGGACACCCACCCUCCUCCUCUCUAGAUCUCUGCCUGACACAUCGAAAGGACAUGAAACAGAGAAUCUGGGAUUGUGACUGAAAAUUUUUUUUUUCUUUCAGAAACACAGGCAGACAAUGACACUCUGUGCUCUCCAGCACCUCUCUUCUUCCCUGCCUUCCUAAUUAUGCCAGUCUAUAUACUUUGGGAAGCUUUAAAAGCCAAAGAUUCAUUAUGUUUUUUUAAAAAAUUAUGCUUUUACUUCCACUGGAAAAAAAUUAUAUGGGUUAAUAGUCAUGGUGGCUGCACACAGCGGCUUCCAUGAGAGAUGGAUCACCCCAGCUGCUGGCUGAGGCCAGUACUCCUCUGCUGGAUCCUGGUGCCUGGACACAGUCUUUUUGCACUGCACCUUGUCUUGGGCAGCUAAGAGCCAACUCAAGUAGAAUGGCCAAGGUACAGGUUUUAAUGGAUUAAUAUAUCAACCAUCCUUUAGUAUGCUAUUCAUUUGCCAUCUGUAUGUCCUUGGUAAUAAAAUGUCUAUUCAUGGCUUUUGCUCAUUUUCUACUUGGAUCAUUUGUUCAUGUCACUGUUGAGCUUCAGAUAGGUUCUCUAUCAGAUGUGUGGUUGCUUAACUUUUUCACAUAACUUGUCCCAGGGAAAAAUAAGUUCAUUUUACCAACCUUCGAGCAUGGCUGAUCAUUGACCAAAGAGAUUCGGGGCUGGAAAUGUCCCUCAGUUGGUAGAGCAAGAUACUCCUAUUUCUAACUUGUGCCCCCCCCCUUUUAGGGAACAAUAAAAUCUACUCUGUUAACUAGAGUUUUCUGUUCUAAAAAGCUGUAUAAACUUUAUAACUUAACAGUCACCUAGGUAAUAAUGGUUUUAAGGACAUAAAAGAUAAAAGAUAUUUUAUUUUUGCUAUAAGUUACCUCCUUCCCUCAGCCUAGACAGAGGGGUAAUCUAGUCAGCUUCUACCAACAAACUGCUGCUGGACAUAAUUCAUUUACCUUUUUGCCUUUUAUUUUGGUCACUGACAGUUUUCUUCUUUCACUGGCUCUGUUCCACAUGGUUUGUUUUCGGAAUGUCGUGCCUUCUCAGGGCCUGGUAGGGCACGCGUUUCACGGAAAAACUCUUCCUGUUCCACCUACAGCCAAUCUACAUUCUUGUCACGCACAGUUUUAAGUUACUCUGUCUCCUUAAAUGUUCUGUCUGAUUGCUAAGUUAAAACCAAUUACAGUCAAGAUAGAGGGCUCUGAGUAAAUAUCCCUCCACAGCCUCUCAGUUUGAAUCCAGUUCUCCAGACAGACCCUGCACUAAUGUCAUUGUACCCAUUUUAAGUACCGAAAAAUUUAUAACAGAGAUAAACCUUACUCAGUCCCCUAUGUAUGUUUUCAAAGGUUAAGCUUAAAACAAACAACUAAAAACAAAAUUGUCUAUCCAGAUUUACCCAGACAAUAAUCUUGAUGCUUUCAGAGAUCUACAGAAUAUAAUUUACUAAAAAACUUAAUCCCAGAUCCUGACAGUCUCCAAAGAAGAUUACAGGACACCUCGAUGUCUACACAACCCUGAGCAGGGAGCAGGGUGCCCCAAUGCACACCUGCUACCAGGACCUUGCCCUGGGCCAUGAACAAGUGACAGGAUAUUGGAAAAUUGAUUCUACCCCUUUUGUCUAGACAAAAUAAGGUCAGUCUUUUCCAUGUCCCUCUCUCACAAACAAACAAAAAAAGCCACUCACUUGUAGGCCUGGCAAAGAUGGAUGCUGUUCUUUAAUACUUCUGCCUGCCAAUAGAGACUUGCUAUUGGCUAUGGAUAUGGCUAACUGUAUAUGGACUGGACCCUGUCAUUUUUAAUAGAUUCCAAAUCUGUAUAAAAUUUAUCCUUCUCAGAUCUCUGAUAGUAUCAAUGGCUAAACUAUAGCCAGCUUGAUAGCUCAUUUAAUAAAUUUCUGAUAAGCUGAUAGAGCAGUGCCUACCUGCUGGUCAGUCACAAGCUCAAGGUUUUUAGACUUAUUUUUGGUUGCCAUCUAAAUAUAAACUUAAAGGGCUUUUCAUCAGGGCAAAGGCACCUCUGUACAAUCUAUACCUGGCUCUCUGGACAGAUGAAAAAUGUACAAGCUUCUAACUCAAAUCUAUAGUUUUUUCUAGGGCUCAAAGGUAUAAAUUUGAGCUCCUGUCAAAAUUGCUCCUGUCAUUUUGCAGAUACUCAAUAUCUGUUGAAAGACCAGGAUAAAGAAAUAGUCCCCUCACCCCCCUGCAGCAGACAGAAUAGGGCCAAGAAUAUAGGUUGGCUGGUUCAGCGACUCUGUUCCAGAGUGACUUUGUUCCAGGAACUGGCAGACCAUAAAAGUUAUAGCCGGUUCAGCAACUCUGUUCCAGGAAUAGGCUAGCCAUAAAGAGUUAGAUUAGAAUCUUGUAAACAAUCUUAAGAAACAGGGAGUUUCCCCUUGGGACUUUCCACUGAUAUUCUUGGUAUUUCUCAGUAACGCCCUCCCUACCCCCUUGCCCUUCUGGGUUGUGGUUUUUCCCUUUAAAUACCACUUCCCGCAGCCAUUCGGGGUCGAACUCCUCUACCCCUGCGUGGGAUAGGAGUCUCAGACCCAGCACACUGGUUCCUGUUAAUAAACCUCGUGUGAUUGCAGCAAGGACGGUCUCGCGUGAGUUCUUGGGGGGUGGCGUCAUCCCGAGACUUGAGUGAGGGUCUCCCCUCUGCGGGGGUCUUUCACUGUUUUUUUCUAUUUCAGUACAGAUUGGUAAUGCUAAUAUGUCUAAAACUGUUAUGUUCUUUUAUAUAAUAAAGUUCAUAUAGGCUUCAGAGGAUCAAAAGUCAUAAAGCUUAGAUCUGCUUCUCACAGGUCAUAAGGACUCCAGAUAAGUACAGCUUUUUGUUAUCCCACCUGUCUGUUCAUGAUAAUGGGAUUUUCUCCCCUGGUAUUAGGACUCCUGCCCUUUCUGAUCACUAAAACUUAUGAACCUAAGAGUUCUGAUUAAGUAUAUAAAUUUUAAUUUCUGCUCCCAGUUUAAACAUGUCUCAAAGAGGUUUACCCUUCUGGUUUCUGUCCUGGCAGACACACCUGGGCAUCAGUUGCUGAGUACAGCCUGUUCCUAAAGACUACGAGCUCUAGAUUUGCUGUGGAUAUAAACCAGUCCAACAGAUGUAAACACUAUUUGUUUCUUCAACAGAGUCUGCCAAUCAGAUAUUUCUGAUUAAUAACCCAUAGCCUAAAUUCCCUCUUUGCUUUUGACUGGUAUUUCAGCCUCCUUCGACCCCUGACUACAACACCCCAAAGUCAGCAGGAAGUAGCACAGAAAAGAAUACGUCAUCGCUUUUCCCUGGUUGAGAUGCUAAGUCAAAGAAAAAUUCCCUUACAAGAUGACAGUAAAAAUUGUCCACUAGUAACCCAGGAUUGGGUUACGCAAAAGGAGAGGCAGGAAUGGAAGGGGCAAACUAAACUCAAAGGCUUCACUUCUAGGAAUGAAGGGACCAGACCCUCACUCAGCCUCUGCUUUAGAAGCCAAGACAGGAUACAGAAGAGACACAUAGGCCUUUAACACAAGAAAACCCCAGAUCCUCUGGCCUCCCAGAGCCUAGGGACAGAACUGAACACAAAGAAACUCCAGAUACCACCCCCACCAGCCUCCUAGGUACUUGGUUCCUGGGAACUGUUUGGACACAAAAGAAACUCCAAGGGAGACCAAAACCUCCCCUAUAGUCUCCAGAACACAGUUCUGAAAACUAUUGGUAUCUAUGAACAACAGGCCACCUGCAAGUAACAAGACAACGCCAUAAAAACCACAGAAUGUUCCCUCUCAGCACUGACCAAUGAGAAUACCUGUAUACAGGUAUUUCAUGCCAAAAUAUAACUUUGAGAAAUUCUCCUGAUUGUUCCCAAAUGUCAACCAAUCAGAAACCAACCCUAACCUACUGAUGCAAUUCUGUAACUUUUGUCUUUAAAACCUAGCAGUAGACAGGGAACUUCACCCACUCUGGACACUACUGUGUCAGCUUGCUAGACUGGGUCCCUCCUGCGGUGUAGGAUAAAGAAUUUAUUUAUUUAUUUAUUUAUUUAUUUAUUUUUUGGUUUUUCGAGAUAGGGUUUCUCUGUGUAGCUUUGGAGCCUAUCCUGGCACUCGCUCUGGAGACCAGGCUGGCCUCGAACUCAGAGGUCCGCUUGCCUCUGCCUCCCGAGUGCUGGGAUUAAAGGCGUGCGCCACCAAUGCCAGCAGGAUAAACAAUUUAAUAAAACUUGUGCACUUGCAUCGGUGGUCCGUCUACCUGGUCUCUUUGGGGAUUCUUGUGACUCGGGCACAACAGACACCACAUUAUGGGACAAGUUGUCGCUUCUGCCUUGCAGGGAAAUAGGAAGGUCAGUGAGGGGCCAGACCUAAGACAUGCUUUGGAUAUGGGCAAAUGGGCCACUUUAAGAAAAAUUGUCCUGCUAAGUACUCUGUUGCACCCCCUUGCCGAGGGCCAGGUCUUUGUGCCCGCUGUAAAAAUGGACAUCGUUGUGAAAGGGGAAAAUUAAUAAAAGUCUAAAACCCAGACUCCAAAGCCCAGAAAGAAAACUCUGAGUUCCCAAAAGGCAACUCAGCAGACAAGGUCAAACAAAGGUCCACAGGACUCAAGGCCUUAGACCAAAUAUCACACCCCAAAAUGGUGCCCACAUUCCUCUGGUCCAAAGAGGAUCAGAUAGUCAUCAAUUGUAGAAGUCCACAGCCCAGGAGACAAUUAACAAAGUCAUUUCCUCUGCAGCAUCCUGCUUAAUUGUACCUUGCAUAAAAGCAUUGUCCUGUCCUGGGUAACCACGGAAGUUUUGUAAUCUUGGGGUUUCCAGUCUUACAAUUUCCCCUUAUAAAAACACCCCUCAGUUGAAAGUGGGUACUCCAUUUGUUCCCGAAUGAAUGGGGUCCUUGCUGCAGCUCGUAUCCUCGAGUCAAUAAAGAAAGCUUUGUCCUUGCAUUCGGUGAGUCGUCUCCUUGUUGUCGGGUUCUUUUGGGGUUCUGAAAUCUGGGCACAACAAUUGGGGCAAUAAAUGUCAAUCAAAGACUGAUGUACAGUGUAACCCUCUGUCACCUCCAGGAAAUUGGAGUCGGGGUCCGCUCCAGGGCCCUCACACCAAGGAGCCCUAGAUACACCGGUUUCUCACUCUAUUCAGGUCCUACCCCAGAGAAACCCCUUUGUAUCUAGGAACUUAUCAGAGGUACCUCAGGAAGCACAGAACUGGACCUCUGCUCCUCCAUGAGCCCAAUACUCCUCAGAUGGAACCCCAAGCUUUGGGCACAGGAGUCCA
rnacentral:lncRNA from 1 species